GAUGAACGCUGGCGGCGUGCUUAACACAUGCAAGUCGAACGGAAAGGCCCUGCUUCUGUGUGGUGCUCGAGUGGCGAACGGGUGUGUAACACGUGAGUAACCUGCCCUCGACUUUGGGAUAACUUCAGGAAACUGGGGCUAAUACCGGAUAGGAGCUCCUGCUGCAUGGUGGUGGUUGGAAAGUUUCGGCGGUUGGGGAUGGACUCGCGGGUUAUCAGCUUGUUGGUGGAGUAGUGGCUUACCAAGGCUGUGACGGGUAGCCGGCCUGAGAGGGUGACCGGCCACAUUGGGACUGAGAUACGGCCCAGAAUCCUACGGUAGACAGCAGGGGGGAAUAUUGCACAAUAGGCGGAAGCCUGAUGAAGAAACGCCGCGUGCGGAAUGACGGCCUUCGGGUUGUAAACCGGUUUCGCCGGUACCGAAGAGUGAGUGACGGUAAUGAAUAAAGAAGCACCGGCUAACUACGUG
rnacentral:rRNA from 1 species